GACGAACGCUGGCGGCGUGCUUAACACAUGCAAGUCGAACGGAAAGGCCCUGCUUAUGUGGGGUGCUCGAGUGGCGAACGGGUGAGUAACACGUGAGUAACCUGCCCUUGACCUUGGGAUAACUUCAGGAAACUGGGGCUAAUACCGGAUAAGAGCUCCUGCCGCAUGGUGGGGGUUGGAAAGUUUCGGCGGUUGGGGAUGGACUCGCGGCCUCUCAGCUUGUUGGUGGGGUAGUGGCUUACCAAGGCUUUGACGGGUAGCCGGCCUGAGUUGGUGACCGGCCACGUUGGGGCUGAGAUACGGCCCAGACUGCUACGGGAGGCAGCAGUGGGGAAUAUUGCACAAUGGGCGGAAGCCUGAUGCAGCAACGCCGCGUGCGGGAUGACGGCCUUCGGGUUGUAGACCGCUUUCGCCUGGGACGAAGUGUGAGUGACGGUAAUGGGUAAAGAAGCACCGGCUAACUACGUG
rnacentral:rRNA from 1 species